GGAUUCCCCUAGUAACGGCGAGUGAAGCGGGAUGAGCUCAAAUUUCAAAUCUGGCGUUCUCCGGGCGUCCGAGUUGUAAUCUAGAGAAGCGUUUUCUGCGUUAGACCGACCAUAAGUUACCUCGAACGGUACAUCAUAGAGGGUGAGAAUCCCGUAUGUUGGUCGGAGCCUAGGGCUAUACGAUGCGCUCUCGACGAGUCGAGUUGUUUGGGAAUGCAGCUCAAAAUGGGAGGUAAAUUCCUU
rnacentral:rRNA from 1 species